rnacentral:rRNA from 1 species
CCUACGGGUGGCUGCAGUGGGGAAUUUUGGACAAUGGGGGCAACCCUGAUCCAGCCAUGCCGCGUGCGGGAAGAAGGCCUUCGGGUUGUAAACCGCUUUUGGCAGGAACGAAACGGUGCGGGCGAAUACCCUGUGCUAAUGACGGUACCUGCAGAAUAAGCACCGGCUAACUACGUGCCAGCAGCCGCGGUAAUACGUAGGGUGCGAGCGUUAAUCGGAAUUACUGGGCGUAAAGCGUGCGCAGGCGGUUGUGCAAGACAGGUGUGAAAUCCCCG